GACGAACGCUGGCGGCGUGCUUAACACAUGCAAGUCGAGCGGUAAGGCCUCUUCGGGGGUACCCGAGCGGCGAACGGGUGAGUAACACGUGGGUGACCUGCCCUCAGCCCUGGGAUAAGCCUGGGAAACUGGGUCUAAUACCGGAGAUGACCUUUCCUCGCAUGGGGUUUGGUGGAAAGUUUUUUCGGCUGGGGAUGGGCCCGCGGCCUAUCAGCUUGGUGGUGGGGUGAUGGCCUAGCAAGGCGACGACGGGUGGCCGGCCUGAGAGGGCGACCGGCCACACUGGGACUGAGACACGGCCCAGACUCCUACGGGAGGCAGCAGUGGGGAAUAUUGCGCAAUGGGCGGAAGCCUGACGCAGCGACGCCGCGUGGGGGAUGACGGCCUGCGGGUUGUAAACCUCUUUCGACCCCGACGAAUUUGGACGGUAGGGGUAGAAGAAGCACCGGCCAACUACGUG
rnacentral:rRNA from 1 species